rnacentral:rRNA from 1 species
UACGUAGGGGGCAAGCGUUGUCCGGAAUCAUUGGGCGUAAAGGGUGCGUAGGUGGCAUGGUAAGUCGGAUGUGAAAUCCCGGGGCUCAACCCCGGAACUGCAUUCGAUACUGCUGCGCUAGAGUACUGGAGAGGAGAUUGGAAUUUACGGUGUAGCAGUGAAAUGCGUAGAUAUCGUAAGGAAGACCAGUGGCGAAGGCGGAUCUCUGGACAGUUACUGACACUGAGGCACGAAGGCCAGGGGAGCAAACGGG